rnacentral:lncRNA from 1 species
CCAAAAUUUAAAAAAAUCAAAAAUCUGAAGUAUUCUGGUCCUAUAUAUCAGAGAAGGGAUGAUCAGCCUAUAAAUAUCUUGAUUUAAUGUCAUUGAGAACACAUCUGACCUUGGUGUAGAUCUCAAUUACUAUGAUGUUCUACAGAAAGACUAAACAUAUCUAAAGGAGACACUGGGUAAUUUGAUGUUCAGAUACUGACAACUGUAUUGUGCUACUGUGGAAUGAUAUAUAUUGUGUUUAACAAAAUUGAGUGCUACCUUUAAAUAUAAAAUGAUGCCAAAAUAAAUGAGAUGCUGAAUUUGGAAUUGAAGUACUGAUGAGAAGCCUACUAUCAAUAUACUUUUUAGUAGAAUUAAUAUAUGACAGUUGAAAAGUUUAACACAAGCAUGUUCUUUUUUAAAAAGCUAUGAGAUAAUUUCACGAUUUUGGAAAGAGAAACUUUAAAAUGCCGACCUAUCAUCAUCUAAAUAUUGGCAUCCUCUUAUACAUCAUAAUGCUAGCAAUAUGUAAUAGUGUUUGAAAUAAUUAAAAUGUGUUUUCUAUGCAGUGACUAGACAACACUUUUAGUUUGAAAUAUAAUAUGUAAAUUGCACUUAAUAUGCAAAAUUUAUUUUGCAAAUGAAGGAUACAGAGUGGAAGCCUGUAUUCAAAUUUAACUGAUAAAAGUAUUUUGCCUAUUUCACAAAAUUAUAUAAAAGGAUGCCAGAUAUAAACACAGUGUCUCACAGUUAAGUUAAUGUAGUAAGUUUAUAAGUUUGUGUUGUGAAAUUACAUUGCAAAUCUAAUUCUUAUUUUUAUCAUUUCAGUUCUUUAAAACUUACAAUUUUCUUGGACUUACUCUUUUGCAGUUGAGUCGCUCUUGACAGCUAUAAGUGAAGUCAGGAAGGAGAUUGAAGACUUGCAGUAUAGGGAACAAAAGCGCAUUGCAAUUCAGGGGAUAAUUACUGCUAUAAAGUAUAUCCCCCAUAGCAGUGCGACUGAAAGUGCCUCAGCAUCAGAAACACUUCGGAAUGCUAACAGACCCUCAACAUCUCAAGCAGCUAGAGUAGAAAUUCAAGAAAGAAAUGGUAAACGGCAUCAAGAUGAUGAGCCUGUGAAUUCUCAGUAUUUCCAAACUACAUCUACAAAUUUGAGUCUCAGCAAUAAAAUAAGAAUUCUUCAAGGCCCACAUGCUAAUCCAGUUGCUGUACCUCAACCAGGAGCUUCUGUACAAACAAAGGGAAUUAAACCAGGCAUGCCAAGCAUCUUCAACCGUAUGUUACUGUUUGUUAUCAUUGUUCUAUGUAGAUUACUAUUUAAUUACUAAGCACAAG